UACGUAGGGUGCGAGCGUUGUCCGGAAUUAUUGGGCGUAAAGGGCUCGUAGGCGGUUUGUCGCGUCGGGAGUGAAAACACACAGCUUAACUGUGUGCUUGCUUCCGAUACGGGCAGACUAGAGGUAUGCAGGGGAGAACGGAAUUCCUGGUGUAGCGGUGAAAUGCGCAGAUAUCGAGGAGGAACACCGGUGGCGAAGGCGGUUCUCUGGGCAUUACCUGACGCUGAGGAGCGAAAGCGUGGGGAGCGAACGGG
rnacentral:rRNA from 1 species